GCUGGGCUUGGUGGUGCACACCUGUAAUCCCAGAAGUUUGGGAGGCUGAGGCAGGAGGAUCUUGAGUUCAAAGCCAGCCUCAGCAACUUAGUGAGGCCCUAAGCAAUUUAGGGAGACCCUGCCUCUA
rnacentral:sRNA from 1 species